UUCAGAUUUUGGGUAUAAUAUUGAUCUUGAUGUCCUUGAGUUGUUUGUGGAUCUAUAUCUCAAAGACUCAAACAAUGAAGAAGAUGCUCCAAGUUGGCACUAUAGCUUCUCUGAAAUAUAUAUGCUACAAAUUUGAGAAGAAGUAUGCAUUGCUCUCUGACUGGAAUAGAAUCUGUGGUACAAGGGAGUACAAGUGCAAUUGUGGAUCUACCUUCUCUAGGCGUGAUAGUUUAAUCAAUCACCAUUCAAUAUGCCAAGUGUUUGUGGGAGAGGUGGCUAGGCACACAACAAAUUGGCCCCAGCACCAGCAUGACUGCUGGAAUACAUGCAAAUGUU